rnacentral:tRNA from 1 species
UGGCUCAGUGGUUAAGAGCACUGACUGAUAUUCCAGAGUCCUGAGUUCAAUUCCCAG